AUCAGCGUAGGUCUCUGUCAUCGGUUCAGAAGCAUUUUCAGGAGUUCACGCAAUUUUUUUUUCCAAAAGAUUCGAAUUAAAAAUAAUUGGUAAGAAAAGAGAAAAUAAUUUAUAUGAUUUAUUGAUCGAGUCAAUAAAUAAAAUCGGAGACUACUUGACGCAAAUUGCUAAUUUGACCGGCGUUUCCGGCAAGAAUAUAGAAAAAGUACGUUCUUGAACAGAAAUAUUUCGUGUGUGUAUAACAGAGUUUAAAGCAGUCGCUGCAGUAGUGGUGGUCGUUACGUCGAUACCGUUGCCUUCGUUGCGUCGAGGACUUUGUAAUUCGAAUACAAAUAUAAAAGAGAAAAGUAAAAUUUUAUUCUUGUAAAAUAUUUAUUGAAUUGUUUUGUGAUUGUUCUUGUUGUUAAGUUCCUACAUCAUCAUCAUCUAUAUAUUGUAUAUUUUUGUGUCUGUGUGUCUGUAGAUAAUCAUGGCCAAUAAUUACACCGGGUUUAGUUACGGCGGUACCCAGUACAAUUCGACGGGUACACCGGGCGCAUAUAGUUCCAAUUCAGUUUCGUAUCCGGCUGUAACCAACGCCACUUAUGCCAACGCCGCCGCCUAUCAGUCGGCUGUAGCUGCUGGCAGCGGUAGUUACGCAGCUGGAGGUGCAGCCGGAGCUGCUGCUGCAAGUUAUGCAGGAUAUAGUGGCAGUGACUAUAGUCGUACGCCAUUGCAGGCAUAUGACUCGUCUAAAACAUUUUAUCAGCAGGCGGCCUCCAACUACAACACCGCUGUUGCGCCUACGGUCUCCAAGACUCACUACUCGGCUCCGCCGGUUAAAAAUGUGACCCCAAUUGGUACAAAACCUACGGUUGGCAAAGAUAAAAGUGGCGCUGGGGGUCCUGGGAAAUUGCCUGGAACCGCUGUGACUACAGCACCUGGAUCCUAUUCCAAUUAUGAUGCUGCACUCUACAGUGCUGCUUCUAUGUAUGUGGCUCAGCAACAACAACCUGGUACUGGUAAUCCAGCCAAGUCUAAUGGUUCCGCAGGUGCUUCUGGAAACUGGCCGCCAUAUCGCAAAGGUGGUCCCGGUGGUCCUGGAAACAAAGUAUCACGGCCAAAACAAGCUCCCAGGCCGCAACAACUGCACUAUUGCGAGGUUUGUAAAAUAUCUUGCGCUGGACCGCAAACCUAUCGUGAACAUUUGGAAGGUCAGAAACAUAAGAAACGUGAGGCAUCACUUAAAAUGCAGGCUAGUGCACAAACUACCUCGCAGAAUCGAGGUAAUAAUUAUCAUUGCGAACUUUGCGAUGUUACUUGUACCGGCACAGAUGCCUACGCCGCUCACGUCCGUGGAGCCAAGCAUCAAAAGGUAGUGAAAUUGCACCAAAAAUUGGGAAAGCCCAUUCCAUCGGAGGAACCAAAGAAGUUGUCUAAAAUAAACUUUGUUCCCGCUGGCGGUUCUGCUGCCGGCACAACACCUAAGACAGGUGGUGAUGAAGAAGAAAAUCCAACUGAAAAUGAUAAAAUGGAUGAUAAUGCGGAUGAUGCCAGUAAUCAUGAAAAUACCGACAACAUUAAACCCGUGGGCGGAGAAUUCAUCGAAGAAGUUAAAGAUGAAGAGGGUAAAAUUCUUAGCUUCAACUGCAAGUUGUGCGAUUGCAAAUUCAACGAUCCAAAUGCUAAGGAAAUGCACAUGAAGGGACGACGUCAUCGUUUGCAAUACAAACGUAAAGUUCAGCCAGAUCUAGUGGUGGACUUCAAGCCAACACCACGGCAACGUCGUUUAGCUGAAGCUAGGGCUCAACGAGCUCUGAUGAAUUCUCAUCGAGGUCAGAAUUCAAACUUUGGCGAUAAGCAGGCAUAUUGGGGUGAUGAACAACGUCGACGUGCACAGUUCGAUGACGAGUAUGAUUAUAAUAACUGGCUAGCACGCAGUUUUGGAGGUAAUCAACGUGGUUUUGGCGGCCGUAUGGGUAAUGGACCGCCACCAUUCUUUGGCAUGAUUCCUGGUGGUGCCAGCAUUCGCCGUCCGGAAAGUAAUGAUGAUCGCCAUGCCAUCGCUCGUCAUGCACAAAUCUAUCCAAAGGAAGAAGAAUUGCAGCUUAUUCAACGUAUUGUUUCCCAUACUGAACGUGCAUUAAAAUAUGUUUCUGACAGCCUUGCUGAAAAUCCCAACGAUAGUGGACCAUCAUCAGCUAAAAAGGAGAAAAAUGAUAGCAGUGCAGUUAAGGACGGACGUGACAACCAAAUGCUGUCCUUUCAAAAGGAGGCCGACUCUGGAAAUGUUCGCAUAUUAAAGGGAGUUAUGCGUGUUGGAUUCUUAGCCAAGGGAUUACUCUUGCAAGGAGAUAAUGCCGUCGAAUUGGUCGUACUCUGUUCGGAGAAACCUACGGUUGGACUUUUAAAGGGAGUCGCUGCUGAAUUGCCAGAAAAACUGAAAGAGGUUGCAGCUCUUUUUCACAGGAUGAUUUCAUACUGGCCAUGUUGAGAUUGCUUCUAAACAACCCACAUACCAACCAACUACUAUUAUCGGUUUAAAAUAACACUGUCUCCCAUGUACAUUCUCUAUAAAGGACUUUUAACUGGAUAAAGGACUUUUAACGGUGAAAACCCUGUUGAUUACAAAGUUGAAGUAUUAAUAGACGAAUCAGCAGUUUUAGUUCAAGAUGAGGCAGUAUCUGUUAAAAUUUCAUUGACUUCACCAUUAUUGCGUGAAUCUCCGGAUGGUGGAAAAGUUGAGAAUACUUCGACAAAUAACAGUGGCUCUGGUGAUGCAGCUUUAUUGCCACGAGAACCAUGUCUAAAGGCACUUGCUGAACUUCGUCAUGCCAAAUGGUUCCAAGCUAGAGCAACCGGUUUACAAUCAUGCGUAAUGGUUAUACGCAUUUUACGUGAUCUCUGUCAACGUAUACAAUCAUGGCAGGCAUUGCCGCAGUGGUCAAUGGAAUUAUUGGUUGAGAAAGUCAUUUCAUCAGCAGGUUUUCCCAUUUCACCUGGUGAUUGUUUGCGUCGCAUAAUGGAAGCCUUAGCUUCAGGUUUCCUUAUCAACGGUCCUGGUCUCUUGGAUCCAUGCGAAAAGGAGCCACAAGACGCUCUUCACGAUUUGUCUAAACAGCAACGAGAAGACUUGACCGUUUCAGCACAACUAUUCUUGCGUUACAUGGCUUUCAGACAAAUCUAUAAAGUUCUUGGUAUGGAUCAAUUACCAGCUCCAAAAUUUCCAUCACGUCCAUGGCGUAUAAAUCGCAAACGUCGUCGUUCUCAGGGCAAAGACAAUACAGAUGGCGGCGAUGGAGGCAAUAAUGCAGAUGCUGAAGAAUGUGCAUCAGAUGAAAAGAUUCCUAAGAAAGAUGGAAACGAUGCAGCUGCCUAAGCGUUUAAAUAAAUAUAUAAUACGUUACCAAUAAUAAUAUUAAAACAAAUAUUUAUCUACACAUAAUAAUUUAUAAUAAUGCGUUAUAAUUAGAGUUUCCCGAAAGGAAAGAAAAUAUGAAAGGAAGCAGAGCAGAUAUGUUAACAUUUUGGUAUCCGGACUACAAUAAUUGUGCGGAACGAUUUGUUUUAAUUUUCAGUUUUGAACCAUCAGUAAUAAUAGAUCUUUUUUUAGAUACACACAUAAAAUAUGUAUGCAUACAUCAUUAUAUUUAAACAAUAAUGUUUAUUCCGUAUUACCAUGUAUUGAUACAUCUAUUGAUCAACAUGAUCAUUAUAAUAAAAUAUUAUUAACUUAUGUAUGUAUGAACAAAACAUACUAAUUUAUAUGUAUGUUUGUAUGUAGUAUGUUGAUACUGAAGACAACAAAACCAACAUUAAAAUAUAAUCUCUUGAAUUUUAAAUAAAAUAAACUCAAUCAGAAUUAAAAUCAACGGAA